rnacentral:rRNA from 1 species
ACGGAAGGCAGCAGUGGGGAAUAUUGGGCAAUGGGCGAAAGCCUGACCCAGCGACGCCGCGUGAGGGAAGACGAUCCUCGGAUUGUAAACCUCUUUUAUAAGGGACGAUAGUGACGGUACCUUAUGAAUAAGCCACGGCUAACUACGUGCCAGCAGCCGCGGUAAUACGUAGGUGGCGAGCGUUAUCCGGAUUUACUGGGUGUAAAGGGUGUGUAGGCGGGACUGCAAGUCAGGUGUGAAAAUCAUGGGCUCAACUCAUGACCUGCAUUUGAAACUGUGGUUCUUGAGGGUCGGAGAGGUAACUGGAAUUCCUGGUGUAGCGGUGAAAUGCGUAGAUAUCAGGAGGAACACCGGUGGCGAAGGCGGGUUACUGGACGAUAACUGACGCUGAGGCGCGAAAGCGUGGGGAGCAAACAGGAUUAGAUACCCUGGUA